rnacentral:siRNA from 1 species
AUCCUUGAUUCUUCUGAUAAUGGU